rnacentral:lncRNA from 1 species
CCCCGGAGAACACUAAGAGAAGCAGCAAGAUCAUUGGCCCAAAUGUUCCUUCCAUCAACCACUCCAGCAAAGAGGUACUUGCCAGCAGGGAAUCCACUCUUGAUCAAUUCAAGGGUCUUCGUUCCACGAACCAAAUCAAAUCCAUAAGCGGUGACACCCUUCAAAGAAGUGAGGGUCUGGAAUGCCUCAGCUGGAACAUCAGCAAAGUAGGUCUCAACAAGAACAUUCAAGCCAGACAGAGUUGACUCUAGCUCGGCAUAAGCCUCACUGAAUGCAUGCAAUUUGUGUGAGUCAAGAUCCAUAACAAGCAAUGGCUCAUCAAACUGAAUCCAGGAAGCACCAGCAGCCUUAAGCUCAGAAAUAACUUCCCUGCAGAAGUGUUAAUUGGUACAACACAGAUUAAUGAUGUCACUCGAUAUAUACACACAGAGUUAUUUAGCACAUACACAUUUAUAAAUCAGUAAUAGGUGAUAAUUUCUUACUUGUAGAUUGGAAGGAUUUUCGGAAGAAGAGAAAGAAGAGAAAAGGUCUUCGCAACACCCUUGGCAGGCUUAGACAGCAACAAGUAUGACACAGGGCCAAUAAGCACUGGGACAGUUUCAACUCCAAGCUGCAGCAUUAGACAAGUGAUCGAUAUUAGCAUCUCACAAACUUGAUCUGAUUGAUAGAAAGUUACAAGCAAGUUCAGAAUUCGUUUAAUGAAAUCUCUAUGAAAAAUCUUCAGGGUCCACAAUGUGUUGAAAGUACCCUUUUCAAGUAAUUUAUCUUAAGACUAUUUUGCAAACAGUAUUGCUUUCCUUACAGAUCAAAUAAAUCAAACAACAUAUGAACACAUUUACUGAACCAAGUCUAAGUUCAAAGCUCUAUAAAUAAAUGUCAAUGAAUCUAUAGUAAAUUCUAUUGCAUCCUAAGCUAAAGAUGAGCAUAUCAUAUAAGAAUUUCAAGGUGAACGUAACCCAAUUUCAAUAUAUUGUAGAUUCAGAUAUCAAACGAAAUAAAAUUUGUAAAUAUAGACAGAACUGAGAAUAAACACUCACCCCCUUAGCCUCCUUGUACUCAGUCACAGCCUUGUGGGAAGCGUAGGAGAACUUAACAUCGGGUCCCAAUUCAGGAACAAUGAAAUGACUGCAUCAACACGAAGCCAAACACGCGUCAGCAUUCAGUACAAAACCAUUACACCAUAAAUAACUUGAAAUGCCGCUCUUCCAAGUAGUGAAUACUUACUAGUUGGUGUCGAACCACUUGGUCAUUUCCAUAGCGGGAACAGAGGCGUUUCCUCUGGCCAUGGAGAAGUAAACAUCAAAUCCAAUCUCGCCGCCGUUCCAGUUAUACCUCGGGGGCACGGCACCGAGCAUUGCGGUGGUGUCGAGCACUUGGUCGUAGUAGGAGAAAGUGUUGCUGGGAAUGUAUUUGAUCCCGGCCUGGGACAUCUGUUUCCAGAUGGAGGAUCUGAGAUCAGCGGACACCUUUUGCAAAUCCUCAGCGCUGCUCUUGCCAUCCCAGAAGGAUUCCAACGCGAACUUGAGCUCCCUCUUGGGGCCCAUGCGUGGGUAUCCAACGAUGUGAGAUGCCAUUUUACUGUCAUAAUCACGUCAUCAAUGAAUCGAAAAUCAGUCACUUUCAUUAAAUCAAGAAAAUAUUCAUUCAAAUGGAUGGGUCAUUGCUAUUACUGCUCAAAUCAAAUGAAAUCAAGAACACUUAUCAGAGCAUAAAAUCUUAAAUUAAUUUUUUUAUAAAAAAAUAAAAAACCAGUUGAAACAAGCUGAUAAUAAUCCAAGAGUUUGAGAUGAUUUUUUUCUUUCUGUAAUCACAUGAACAAUUAUGUACUUUCAGUCAUUUUUGAAGGAUUAAAACAAAAAAUUCUACAAAUAGAUUCUGAAAAGAAGAAUCUAAAAAUAGAUUCAAAAACAGUAACACAAGUAGAGUUCAAAUUGUUUUUCGGAAAAGAUUAAUUACAGAUCUGAUUGAUUCACGUUCAGAUCUAGCAAAAUCACGGCAGCCAAACACUAGAUCUAACACUAACAGUCACUCACCAGUCCAUUAGAAAAUGAAAUCAAGUUCAAAAUUCUUUUAAAGUUAAUUCUUUUUUAGAAAAUGACCAGAUUUUAGUUGAGUAUUAGUGAGUUUUUUACAAAAUAAUUUAUUUUUGUUUUUUAGAUCCAAAAGUUCGGAAAUCAAAACCAUGUUCAAUGCUUAUUCAUGAUUAACGGCGUAAAAACGCUACUGCAGAGAAGACAUAACGAAAAUGGGAACCGUACCAAACAGAGAAAGAAGAGCAGAGAAAUUGAGAGUCGAGAGGAGAGAGAGAAGAGAGCGGCGAGUUUGGGGGAGUGCCCUCUCCGUUAUUUAUAGCCAAAAAUCAAAUCUGGUUUGGUGGUUGCCUUUGGCGUGCCAACCUGUAGAUCUGAGAUUUUUCAUCUUAAUUUCUUUCUCUUAUUUAUUUAUUUAUUUAUUAUGAUUUUCAGUGCAGUUCAUAAAAUAUAGAGCUGACGCGCGCUUUUCUGAUGUGGCGCGUGAAUUGGAAAUGCGGUAGGUCUUUGUGGGCCCCACGGCACGGUCAGGACUGAAGGAAAAAUGUGAGAAGUUAUCAUAAUUUCAACAGUGCCAUAAUUAGCAAUUACACCACCAAAUAUUUCUUGAGUUUUUUUUUUUUGAUUGCUUUAAAUGCAGAGUUGUUAUGAAUUGUGUUAAUUGUAGAGUUGUUAUGAUUAGAUUACAUUAUAAUUCGUCACAAUUAUGAUAGGUAUGUACGUAUAUAAUAAUUUAUGAGUAAUGAUAUAACCACAAACUCUUAUACAAACUUAUUUUGUACAAAUUGAUGUGGCAUGAUAAAAUUAGUUGAAUUAAAUAUUACUUGAUCCACAUGAUUUGUUAUUAUUAUUUUAUAUUUUCAUUCAACCAAUGAAUUAAUGACACGUCAGUUUGUACAAGAUAAGUUUGUACAAGAGUUUAUGGUUGUAUCAUCACUCAUAAUUUAUAUAAGAUCUCGAAUAUUUAAAAAAUUUAUAAAUCAUUAUUUUCAUGUACAUUUACCUGGUAGCAAUGACAAUAACAUAAAAUAAACUCCAAACAAGAAUGGAUUAUAUUAUUUAUGUUAUUUUAUAGCUUUUUAAUUGAUUUUUAAAAGGAUUAAUUGUUAAUCAUUACUCUCCAACCGUAAUCACCAUUAAAUAUUUAUUUAAUUUAAUAGUCGGUAGAUCAUAAAUAAGAUUAGAAUAUUUAAUGGACAAUCUAAUUGCUACUACAAUUGUUAUCAUUUUUUUAAGGUAAGGGAUUAGACAAUACUCAAAUUUAUUUUUUAACCCCUUACUCCCUAAAGAUUCGAAUUUAACUAACUAAUUAAAUAAGACUGCUUAAAAACCACUCAACCACAUCUUUUGGGGACCAAUUAAUAUCGAUGUUUAAACUGAGGUUUAUUAUUAAAUUUUUUAAGUUUCAAGUUUCAACCGCUAACAACAUUAUCAUCGAUUAAUGAUAAAUAUAAUAAUAUUUCAUCAAAAAACCAUUUAACACAUCCAUCCAUAUUAAACAUAAGUAAAAAAUUUAUCAUGCAUUUCAAAUAUAUUUUUCAUCCUAAAAGUUAUGGAGAAAAUCUUGAUAUCAAAACUUACAAUGUAAUUAUGGGAUGUAAUUUUGCAUUUGAGGUCAGCACAACUUAAAAAUUACUAUGAAUGAAAAUUUAUAAUAAGCAGACACCACAAAAAAAAAUUAUUUAUAAGUAUUACAAUCAUGCAGUUUUAUUUAAGUAUUUAACCAAGUCAUUCAAUUUCUAAUUAAGACGGUAUAAAUUAGAUUUGGGCUGCCUAAGACCAAAAGUCAAAAAAAAAAAAAGAAUAUUCCUAAUAAGCAGCCUACCGCGGUCACGCGCCUUAAGAAACGCUUGGACUUAGCACACGAUUUUAAUCCAAAAUGUAUAAAAAAGGAAAAAUUUAUGAGGUGUAUAAUUAUCUUGAGUUGUUAUAUUUUGAAGAAACAAUGAAGAAAGUUGGUGGCCGAAGUUGAUCCGGGGCGAAUGGUGGUGGGCCCACGUUGUUGCAUUAUAAUUGGAGUUAUUGUAAUUUUUCUUAUAAUUAAUAAACUCCAUUUUUCAAAGAAAAUAAAUAAAUAAAUACACUCCCGAUUACGAAAAUAUCAUUUCAUGAGUGUCAAAGUUAGAGCUGGCAAAAUUUGACACGACCCGAUUACCUGACACGAACACGACAUAAAUAAAUAAGUAUGGAUCGUCAAAUUUAACACGAUUAUUAAAUGGGUCGGGUCUGGGUCAACACAAUUUUUUUCCGUGUCGGGUUUGGGUUAAAAUUCUUGACCCAUUUACCCGAUCAAUGACCCGAUUAUAUUUUCUAUUUUAAAAUAAUUUACAUAUUCUUAUAAUUAAAACUCAAAUAUUAGAGAUAUUUUUUUUAUUCUUUAAAAUGGUGAAUAUAAACACAGUGUUUUAUUUAUAAAAUUUUACAUACAUUUAGAGCUUCAAUAGUGUAAAUGUGUAAAAAUUAAUAGACAUGUAUAUUUUAUAAUAUUGAUAUAUAAUAUUAUAUAUAUAUAAUUAAAACAUCAAUAGUGUAAAUGUGUAAUAUAUUGGUAGAUAUAUAUAUUUUAUAAUAUCGAUAAAUUAUGUAUGUAUGUAUUUAUGUACAUACGUAUGUAUGUAUUUAUGUAUAUACGUAUGUAUGUAUUUAUGUACAUACGUAUGUAUGAUAGUGUGUAAAUAUUUUAUGUAACUUUUGUUCAAUAUAUAGAUAUUAAACGGGUUAUUGGGUAACCCGAUUGUUUUUCCGUGUCGGGUUUGGGUCUCAAUAUUUUGACACGAUUAUUAAAUGGGUCGGGUUUGGGUCGACCUAAAUUUGACACGACACGACACGAACACGACCCGAUGACCCGUUUUGCCAGCUCUAGUCAAAGUGACCGUCACCUACGCAUCGCGUUUGUUGGGCGGGGUGGGUAAGGUGGGGCGAGGAGUUUGUUUGAUCGUCUGAUUACUUUGAUUUUGAUGAAACGUAUGGACGACGGCGAUGGCUUGCCAGCAAGUGGGUUUAUCAUGAUUUUGAUUGUAUUCGGGGAGAUGCUUAUGUAUAUCCUCAAAACUUCUUGGAAAUGAAAACCGCUGGGGUGGCAAAUCUUGACCAAUAAAGUGUGCGUGAUGUUGCGUUUAUAAAUUUCAAUAAUACUAUUGGCCGAUUGAGAUUAUUUUUAAAAAGUUUAAAAAUAAUUUUUAAAGGUUAAAUGUUAAUUUUAAUAUUGAAUAAAUUUUUAAAAAUUAUUUUUGAUAAAAUCAUUUUAUCCUCCAAUAAAUUUUAAAAAAUAGCGAUACAGUAAUUUUUUAAAAUCUAAUUUUAAUAAUCAAAACUAUUUUUUUAUAUAAUUUUAUAGAUAUCCGCAUAUAUAUAUUAUAAAAAUUCGAAAUCAUUAUUAUUAAUUAGGAAAUAAAAUCAUUAACUUUUAAGAAAUUAUUAUUAUUACCAAUUAUACUGACAUAACAAAAUAAAAAAUUAAUUAAUAUUAUAAAUAUUUAUUUCAGUUAUCAACUAUUAUAUAUACACAAUAAAAAAUAUUUUAUAUACAUAUUUAUAAAUGUAUAAAUAAUUUUUAUUCAAUAUUAUAUCGAAUUAAUCAUUUACAUUCUUGCAACAAGUUAACAAUAAAAUUUACCAAACACAUACGAUUGUUUUUAAAACUCAUAUUAUUUUUUUAAAAAAAAAUUACUAAACCUUUAACUGAUUCUCUUACAACUGAUUAUUUCUACAGUACAAUUAACAACAAUUAUUUUAAAAACUAUAACAUUUUCAAACUAGCCCCAUGACAAUAUUGUUAUUGUUGUUUUUCUUACUCUUAUCAAUAAAACUACGUUGCACAUAAGUGCAUAAAAAUUCACACAAAAUAAACUAUUUAACUUUAGGGUAUUAAUUGAAAAAAAAAAUCAGAUUAAGGUGAAUAAAUAUCAGAAAAUAACAAAUAGAUAAACUCUCACACUCUUUAAAAAAAUUAAUUUUAUAAUUUUAUUUAAAACCAACAGAUAUUACCAAACUUAACGGAUCAAUGUUCCAAUGUUUUCUUUUUAAUUUCAAAACCAACAGAUAUUCUUUGUUCAUUAUAUGACCUCCAAACAAAUAAUUUCAUUAAUAAAAUAAUAAUGAAAAGUAUCGUGGUGAGUACAGAGUAAUUCGGUGGCUAAUAAAAGUCUCUAUUUUUCGUCUCUGUUUUUCAUUUUAACUCUUGGGGUUGGUGCCACUUCGGCCUUGGUCGGAGUGGUGGGCUGCUGCCCUCACAAGUAUUGUGAGGACAGUGGUUCAAGCCCCCACAAAUAUUUUUGUGGGGGCUAACGUACUUAUUUAUUUAAUAUUUCAAAAAUUUCUUCUCCCUCGUGCAAUACGAGUGGAGUAUGGACAUCCCUCCUCUAUAAGGGAUUAUUUGUCUGGGCAUGUACUUCACAGAAUUCAAUGUAAUAAUAUAAGUCUCAAUCAUAUAUUUUUGAUUGUAAAUAUCAAUAUAAUAUAUCUGCUAUAAUAGCAGUUGUAAAUAUCUGUGUAAUGCAAUAAUAUGAUAAUUAAUCAUUAUUCAAAAAAAAAACUCUUGGGGUUGGUAGGCUCGUGAAUGGUCCACGUAACCUCUGGACGUAACACUCAAACAAAGACAGCACAAGGCACAUGAAAAAUGCCUAAAAACCGUAAAACCGUGACGUGUUCAACAUAUUAAUAAAUUUAUACUGUGUUUUCUUUUUUUUUUUAAUACUGUGUUGAUAAAGCACUUACGAUGGAACGACCAAUUCUAUUACUUGCAAAACUAAUUAAUAUUUCACUCUAUCAUCUAACUAAUGGAAGGCCAUCUUAAUUGAGGUUGCAAUAGUUAGAAAGUAGCGGGAAGGGUGGCCAAUGCUCCAUAUUAAUUUGCAUCAAUCCCUUUCUGGUGAAGAAGUACGGGUGAAGUAGAGGUCAAAGUUAGAAGAUGAAGGGUGUGUUUGGGAAUUGAGAGUGAGGUGCUGUAGUUUUUUAGCUGCAGUUGCUGUGAAAUAAAAGUUAUAACUGUGGAAUAGAAGUUGAGAAAAAAAAUUUGUUAAGCUGCCAAAGCCCAGUUACAAAUGUUACCAAACACCUUAGUAGCUAGGCUUUGGCAGCCCAUCUACCCCAUCACACUCCCAAACGGAUUAGAAGGGGACCGGGAUUGCUUUGUCAUAUUUGAAAAUGAUUUUGAAAAAAUAAAAAUUAAGUUCAGAAUUUGGUAAAUUCCUUUAAAAUUUCUUUUAGCAAAAUCACUCUCUCCUUUAGAUUUUGAAAAGUAUGGAAUGAGUAGUUUUUUAAAAUUUAAUUUUGAAAUUCGGAUUCAUAUUUAAUAUAAUACCAUAUAUCAUAACAUGUAUUAUAAAAAUCUAAAAUUAUCCUUAUUCAAUCAAUUAAGAAGUAAAAUCUUACAUUUAAAGAUAUUAUCAUUAUCAAUUAUAUUUAGAUAAUAAAAAAUACAAUUAAUAAAAUAAAAAUAUUUAUUUUAGUUAUCAAUUAUUAUAUAUAUACAUAAAAUGUAAUUAUAUAAACAUAUUUAUAAAUGUAUGUGUAAAUUAAAUUUGUAGAUUUAUGUUUAUAUAGAUCAUUUGCAUUCUUAUCACAUUUUAAAAGUGAGAUUUAUUAAAUAUAUAUAUGAUUAUUUUUAAAAUUUACAGCACUUUUUAAAACAAAAGUAUCAAAAGUUUAAUUGAUUCCUUAUUUUUACUGUACAACUAACAGUAAGAUGUGUUUGGUUCAAGUAUAAAAUGAUGGGAUUGGACAAUUUUAAGAUUAAAUAAUCCUAAUGCAAUGUUUGGUACCAAAAAUAAUUGUGGGAUAAAAAUAGUGGACCCCACCAUUUAAUCCAACACAAUGUCAAAAUUUUAUCACAAAGGGGGGUGUGGGAUAAGCUAAAACUUAAACGUAGGAUAACAAAAAAAAAGCCCAAAAUUUUAUACAACACAGUGAUUUUUUUUUUUUUUUGAGUAUGUCAUCAUCCAAUGAUAGUAUAUAUGCCAGAACACUCUUUUGACGUUAAUGAUAUGUAAUAUUUUCAUAUAUACAGCUAGUGACAUUGUUAUGUAAUUUCUUUUUCAUUUAUAGAUUUAUAUUAUUAUUAUAUUUGUUGAUGAUAUUCUUGUUAUGUUUAUAAUUAUAUUAUUUAGUAAUUUAUAAGUUUAAAAACUAUAACAUGUUAAAUAUAAGAAAAACUUUAAGCGAAGAUUUUGUAUUUUUUAACAAAUUUACCAAUAAUUUUUUAUUUAAGUUAGAUUAUAUUCCAUGUCAUUUUAAAAUAAAUCUAAGAUAAUUUUGAUAAAUUAAUAAAUAAGACAUAUUAUUAGUUACUAACCAAUUUCAUGGCAUACCAAACAUGAGAUAUGAUUAUUUACAGUCUAAUCCAACAUUGCACCAAACGUAAUAGAGUAUUAUAUAUAAUCCAAUGUUAUCAAAUCCAAUCAUAUCUUAUCCAAUCCGAUCCGAUCCAGUCUAAUCCAAUUUGACAUACCAAACAAGCCCUAAUUAUGUUAAAAACUACAUCAUUACCAAACUGACCCUUAAUACAAUCUCAUACAUACAUACAUAUAUAUAUAUAUAUUAAAAAUUAAAAAUUAUCUUUAUUUAGUUAGGAAAUAAAACCAUUAUAUUUAAAUAGAUUAAUAUUAUUACUAAUUAUAUUCAGAUAACAAAAUUAAUAAAAUAAAAAUAUUUGUUUGAUUUAUCAAUUAUUAUACACACAUAUUUAUAAAUGCAUGCGUAAAUAAAAUUUUAUAGAUUUAUGUCUAUUUAAAUCAUUUGCAUUCUUAUAACAUUUUAAAAAAAGAAAAGAAAAGUGAUUUACCAAAUACAUGUAAUUGUUCUUCAAACUUACAACACUUUUAAAAUAGAAUUUAAUAAAUGUUUAAUUAAUUUUUUCACAGCUGAUUAUUUUUAUGGUAUAACUAACAAUAAUCUAUAAACUUAUGGUAAAUAUUUGUGUGAAUGUUGGUCCAUGUAAAGAAGUAAAAACAACGCAUAUAUCAAGCAAUAAGAUAUCAAAACUCUUAGUAAAAUACAUAUACUAAUGAAAGAAUGACAGCAAUGCAAUAAAUAAGAUUAUAAUAUAAAUUAUUAAAAUUGUAUAUUAAAAAUUGAUGUAUGAAAUUCUUUUUAUUUUAGUGAUAGAUAAUGUGAUAUAUUUGAAUAAUUUGAUUAAAUGAAAAGAAAAAUAACAAGUAUGGUUGUGGAGGAAAUAAACCAUUGAACUGUGGAAUGUUAUUAAUUAUUGCUAUUUCAUUAUGUAACGUCCUGAUAAUAAGUACAGUGUUAUAGUAUAUUGAUGGGUGGUGAUAUUGUCACCCCUUAAAUUGUGUAAAGUCAACCUCAUUUACAAAUUUUUUGAUAUAAAUUAAAAAGUACAUUAGUUUUAAUAAAUUAUAUAUUUAUUGAAUAAACUAGAACCGUUAGGGAGCUGUAAUGUUAGCACUGUUUUAACUUAUUAUAAAAAAAAAAGUUAUGAUUUGAUCAUAACUCUAAUUUAGAAAAGAAAAAAGAGUUGAAUUGCUAACAUACUUAAAAAUAAAAUAAAAACAUUAUUAUUAGAUGAAAAAUUGUAAAACUUAAGGGGGCAUUUGCAAGUCCGCCACUACUCAAUAGAGCAUUAUUCAGUACUCGUUAAUAUAUCUCGAACUUUUAGGUUUUUUUAAUAUAUUUUUAAUACAUUUUCUAGAACAUUUAGAUAAAAAGAGUCAGUACUCCAAUUGAGUUGUGAAUAAACAUUUAGAUAAAAAGAGUCAAUACUCCAAUUGAGUUGUGAAUAAACUCAUGUUAAAAAAAAAAAAACUCAUUUUCACACUUGAAACGAUUAGUAAAUGGGUGAUACGAAUUUAACUUGGUCAAUAAUAUAUACCAUCUUAAGUUAACUUCAACUCAUUGAUCUUCUAUAGGGUUGAUCAGCCUGCCACAAGGCCCACAAAUUAUCACCUCUAAUGCUUUUGCAACAGUCGUUAUAAAUGCUGACAAAAUGAAACUUCUAUAUAUUUUGGUUUUUUUUUAUUUCUAUGAAAUAUAAGGCCCUUAUGGCAAAUUUCCAUCCAGCGUGAAAUUUGCUAGUUUGGCCUUGGUACUGUGGCACAUGCGUCAUGCAUGCGUGGCUGAGAUGCUUCUAAAACUAAUAAAUUAUGAAGAAUUCCAAAUUCGUACCAAAAAUAAGAGAAUAGGAGCUUGUCAUAGGUGUCCGCGGAUCGGAUUUUAUGGGUUAAACAUUAAUUCAUAUUUGAUUCGUGAUUUUGUAGAUUAUAAAUUUUUAAUUUAAUUCAAUUUAUGGAUUAGUGAAACUCAAUACAAAUUCAAUCCAUAUAUAUGCAAAUUAGAUGCGGAUUUAACCCAAUGCAUAUUCAAUCCAUCAUUUGGCGGAUUGAUUUGCAAAUUAAAAGUUUUUAAUUUUGUCCAAUCUAAAAAGUAAUUAAAUUAAAAAAAUCUAAUAUAUAAAUAAUUGAUUAAAUAAAAAAAUCUAAUGUAAAAAUAAUUUUACUACCAAUUAAAUUCAAAAUUGAACAAGAUUUAAAUAAAUUUAGAAUAAUACAUUCAAAAUUUUAAAAUAUAACACACCGAAAAAAAAAUUCAUUUAUUUAGAUCAAUACAUGAAAAUUAACUAAAAUUAUGAAUUUAAAUGUUGAAACUUGAAAGCUUGGAUGUAACAGGAAGAAUUUAAGAAACUUGAAGAGCUUGAAAAGAAAGUAAGAAAUUAAGUUUAAUUACCUCAAGUGGUGAAGUGAAACAGUGAUUGGCUUGUGCGUGCGGUGGGAUAGAGAUUUGGUGUUAUAUGUCAAAAUAUUUUGUUUGGCUUGGGGUUUUUGUUUUGCUUUAGAAAUUUUAAUGUUUAGGAAACUAUAUUUGCUUAUUUAAUUAUUUCUUAUUUUAUAUUGUUAUCGAAUAAAAUAUAAUAUUUUGUUAAUUUAGCUAUAAUUUUAUGCUGAAUAUAUUUAUUUAAAACGAUUUUAUUAAAUAAAUGUGCAUAUUUAACGAAGGUCUCUGAAAUUUCAACCUGCCUGCUAAUGAUAGCCAAUACGGCACGACCCACCAAAUGUCGGCCCACGCGGGCUUGUGGGCCAUGACGACUUUUUUUGUAAGGGCCCGGCACGGCCCACGGCACGAGUCCGUGCCCAAAAAAAGCCCACCUACCUUUUUUUUUUUUGUCCACAUGUUCAGCGUGCCUAAAAAAACCCACGUGCCUGACGUGCUUUUUUAAGCCCACCAGCCUAAUAGUAACAACAACAACAACAAUAAUAAUAAUUUCAUAGAAAUAAUUAAUGAAAAAUAAAAUAACAAUUCUAGAAUAACAAUUACAUCUAAUUUUAUUUGAACAACUAAUAUUAUAAUUGCACAUAAACUCUAUUGAAUGAAAAUGUAAUUUUUAAUUUAUUAUAAAAAUAUUUUGUUCAUAAUUUUAUUUUUUUGUGCGUAAAUAUGAAAAAUAUUUCAUUCACAAAUGAAACAUAUCUCCAUUAACUAUUAACUAAGUUAUGAUUUCAUAAAUGAAAUAUUAAUGUCGUAAAAUUUUUUAUUUAUCAUUUAUAAAAUCAUGAUAUUUAUUUAUCCAUUUAAUAAAUUAUAAACAUAAAAAAAUUAGAAUACUUAUUUAAACUAGGACUUAAAUUAAUUUUAAAAAGCCUAUACUAAAAAAAUAUAUUAAAAUUUUUAAUUUCAAGGUAUUUAUAAAAUCAUGAUAUUUUAUAUUUAUUUUUCAUUAAAAAAUUUUAUUUUGAUAUACUUUGGCCCACGUGCUAUUGGUGGCCCACGGGCCGCGUGCUUAGCCCACCAAUAAAGUGUGCUUAUUACAUGCCUUUUCGCGUGCCGUGUUUUGCCCCAUCUCUAAUCAUACCGUGCUUUUAAGGCCUGCGUGCCUAAAAUUCUAGGCCCGCAUGCCGUGCCGUGCCGUGCCGUGCCUCGUGCCGCCUGGCCCAUUGGCCAUCCCUACUGCCCGCCAACCACAUUUGUCCAAGAUCAAUUUGUAGGAAAAAAAUUUGAAAAUCAAUAAUUUAUUUAAUUAAUUGUUAAUGUAGGCAUUUGAAUCCCCACAAAAUCUGGGUGUCAGUUCUAGACUUCUGGUGAUAUAUUUUUCUAAUUAAGGAAUAAAAUAUUUUUGUCAUUUUUUUAAUAUUUUAAUUUACCAGGCAUAUCAACUAAUUAAUUUUUCUACUUAGACUAUUAAUUCAUUACGUGCGCAAUCUGUAGCCCGGCGCUCCAAUCCCAUGCAUGUUACACACAACUCAAUCAUUAUUUAUUUAUUUAUUUAUUUUGACCAACAACUCAAUGUUUUUUAUAGAGCUGUCAAAAUUUGACACGACCCGAUUACCCGACACGAACACGACAUAAAUAAAUGGGUAUGGGUCGUCAAAUUUAACACGAUUAUUAAAUGGGUCGGGUCCGGGUCAACACGAUUUUUUUCCGUGUCGGGUUUUGGGUUAAAAUUCUUGACCCAUUUACCCGAUCAAUGACCCGAUUAUAUUUUCUAUUUUAAAAUAAUUUACAUAUUCUUAUAAUUAAAACUCAAAUAUUAGAGAUGAUUUUUUUUUAUUCUUUAAAAUGGUGAAUAUAAACACAGUGUUUUAUUUAUAAAAUUUUACAUACAUUUAGAGCUUCAAUAGUGUAAAUGUGUAAAAAUUGAUAGACAUGUAUAUUUUAUAAUAUUGAUAUAUAAUAUUAUAUAUAUAUAUAAAAUUAAAACCUCAAUAGUGUAAAUAUGUAAUAUAUUGGUAGAUAUAUAUAUUUUAUAAUAUCGAUAAAUUAUGUAUGUAUGUAUUUAUGUACAUACGUAUGUAUGAUAGUGUGGAAAUAUUUUAUGUAACUUUUGUUCAAUAUAUAGAUAUUAAACGGGUUAUUGGGUAACCCGAUUAUUUUUCCGUGUCGGGUUUGGGUCUCAAUAUUUUGACACGAUUAUUAAAUGGGUCGGGUUUGGGUCGACCUAAAUUUGACACGACACGAAACUGACACGACAUGAACACGACCCGAUGACCCGUUUUGCCAGCUCUAGUUUUUUAAUAUGAAAAGGUAUUGGUUAGCUUUGUCUUUAGUUUUUUCAACUUAUAAUAAGUUUGUAUUAAGGCUCCCUUUGGUACAGAUUUUCAAGUAAAACUUAUUUAGGGUUAUUUUUAGGGACCUCCCCUGAGGUUUGGUGUAUUAACAAUCUGAUAGAAAGUAUUCACGUAAUUACAAAGACCUCCCCUGACAUUUGUAUUAUGUUAAGUGGACUGUUAUUGACUAUUGAAAAUCCAAAAAUACCCUUCCUGCCAAAAUAUUUCUUUAUUCACUGAUGAACUGAUGGGUAAUUCGUGCCAAAAUCACAAAUUACUUAAGAAGAUGAAAAUAUCCAUUGGAUAAAAAAAAUGAAAUUGCUUAAUAAAAAAAUUGACAUUGCAUAAUAAUAAAAAAAAUUGAAAUAAUGUGCGGCGGCAUAGCUGCAUCUUGCAUGCAUAUUAUUAUUGUGAUUUUUUUAUUACAAACUCCUUCAUAACUAAUACAUGCCACAAGAGCAGAGCUAUUAAAAGAAAUGAUUUUCAUAUUGUAAACUUGAUAGUACAGGUGUUGGCACCGACCAUAAAACCCUUAUGAUACCAAUCUUUGCUCCAUCCAUAUUUAAAUCCAGAUCAAGUAAAUAUUAAAUUGGAUUUCAGGUCCUGAAAAUCCUACUCUAUAAUUGAUAUCUUCGAGUUUUGUUGGUGCCUCAAACCUGGAUCUAGAGCAUCAUCUCUGUCAUACUCGGAACACCUAAACUAAUGGACUUGCUGCAGCUGCUUAUUCUUCUUCUGAAAUGAUGCACGCAUAUAGAUUACAGACUUUGAAAUAAGAAAUACAAUAAACAACAUGUAAUCGAACUUAAGAUUUCGGCACACUUGUUUGAAAAUUAGAAUCAAACAAGGAAAAUGGCAAGUCAAUAUUUUUUAAUCUAGAAAAAGGGAAAUUUCAAAGUUUAUCACAUGCCAAAUUCAUAGUCUUGCAUCCACUAUUUUCUAGUUUGAAUAACAAACAAAAGCCUUAGACAAAAACACAGAGAACAUCUCACAUGGGAGCAAAAAUUGUGUGUAGAACAAUAUACUUAAGUUACAUGUGAUUACAAUCACAUUAUUUAGCAAAUACAAAAUUACCUUCUCAAAAAAAAAAAAAAAAAAACAACACCACCAAAUUAUUGAAGGUAUUACAACAAUAAGGCAAAAGAACACCAAAGGCAUGCACAAACCGAAACUAACACACAACUCAAUUAGUGUCAUGACCCCAAACUGAACAAUCAUAUAAGCCAUUGUGGGCUCUCUAAAAGAUUAUCACAUUAUAAGCAAACAGAAACCUAUAUUUGAUGAACUACAUCUAGUACUUACACAACUCUUAAAUCAUUAGGAAAUUGCUCUUAUCAGUCAUUACCCAAUAGUUUUUUUCAACUCAACACUAACAACCCCAAAGAGAAACAACAUCCAGCACCAUUUUCAUUAAUUAAAACAGACCCAUUGUUAUUUUUAAUCAAUAAAAUAACAACAAUAUCGUGUAAGCCACUGAUUCAAGCAUUCAAGCUGUGUUUUCGAAGACUGACCUCUUCUUGCUAUCUAAUUCCAGUCACGAUAGACGCUAGAUGCCGGCAAUACUCGCUUCUUGGAAGCUCUGGACCACCGCACGACGUCAUCUUGUGCAGUAGAUGAAAAUAAAUCAAUGAUUUCAGAAAUUAUUUGUGAGUUGCAGACGCUUCUUCUCCAUGGAUGAAAAUGAUGGUGGGUUUUGUUCAAGUGUAAGCUGUGUUUACGAGGAGAAGUACACUUUGUGAAAAAAUCAUUUUCUUUCAUCUACUGGAUAAUGACUUUGGACUGGGUAAUGGUGUGUUUAAGUCUCUAUUUCACGGACAUUGAAGCAUAUUUUGCUUGAAUUUUGAUUUUGUUUAAAUUUCAAGUUUACUUUUACUUGUUUACCCUUUUAUACUGACGCUUAUGUAUUUUUAUACUAACGUUAAGGGAGGUCUUUGUAAUUAUAUGAAUACUUUCUAUCAGACUGUUAAUACAACAAACCUCAGGGGAGGUCCCUAAAAAUAACCCAACUUAUUUAAAUAGAACUUUUACAAAAAAAAAUUUAGUUAUUUGGUUGUCAAUAAACUUUUCAAGUAUACUUUGUUUGGUACAGCUUUUCAAGUAAAACUUAUUUAAGUAGAGCUUUUACAAAAAAAAAAAAAUUAGUUGUUUGGUUGUCAAUAAAAAUUUUUAUUAAAAAAAAUAUGAAAUUACUUUAUUAGUCAAGUUUUUUUAAAGUUAUGCUAUGAAAAGAAUAAAAUAAGAUUGUCAAAUAAAUAGAAAAUAUUUUAAAUAUUUUAACAUUUAAAAAAACUUUUUAACCUUUAUUUUCAAAAAUCUAAAAUUUAAACUUUUACUAGUAAAGGCAAAAUAAUUUAUUUAAACUUCAAAAGCUUUAUUAGAAAAAUAAUCAAACAAUAACAAAAAUUAUUAUAAAAGCUUAUCGAAUUAAAUAAGUACUUAUAGUUAUUAAAGAAGUUAUAUCUAACAGACACUAAUGCCGAAAGCCCCUUCUAAUUGUGGGUGUAAAAGUUUGAAUUAUGCAUACGGUUAAGGAGUUAAGGUGUGUUUGGCAACUGCAUUAAGUGGAAAUUUUUAUUUUGUUUCGAAUAAAAAUACAGCAAGCUCGUGUUCGGCUCAAAAUAAUGGAACGUUUAAUUUGCAACCGUCGGCGGACGAAGCACACCGUUCACGGCCCUUCGUAUAAAAUUGCAUAUGUAAACGUAAAUAGGUCCGGAUUCAGAUUCGUUGCUGUAGAGAGUGGCACGCACGAUCGGGCUGCUGUCGGUGGUAGGUUGGCAUUGGAAUUCUCAUCACGCGCUUCCCCAGGCGCCUACUUAUGGCAAAUUGACACGUGACGCGUGUGGAUUGAAUGGACAGAGUCCCGGGCAGUGUGUCCAAAGCUGCCAACCGUGCUCUGAUUUUUGUCAUCCAUAAUGGCUAACGACUAACGAGGGAGAUUUCCGGGCAGAAAGAAAUUGUUGUCGUUUCUGAAGGGGAAAAAAAAGUUAUUUAAUUUGUUGUUGAAGACAAAAUGAAGAUCUAAAUAAAUAAUGGCUAAUUUUGAGUGUAAAGCAACGGUAAAUGCAUUAUUAAAUUAGAUUUAGGGUCUGAUUGAGAUUAUUUUUAGAUUUAAAAUUAAUUUUGAAAAGUUAAAAUUAAUUUUGAUGUUUAUUAAUUUUUAUUAAAAAUUAUUUUUGUCAAAAUCUCUCAUCCUCCAGCAUAUUAUAAAAAAUAAGGAAGAAAUAAUUUUUUAAAAUUUAAUUUUAAGAAUCAGUUUUAUACUUAAUAUAAUCCACAUAUAUCCUCGUAAAUAUUAUAAAAAUUUAAAAUUAUUCUUAUUUAUUUAGGAUAUAAAAUUAUUAAAUUCAAACAUAUUAUUAUUAUUAUUAUUAUUGUUAUUAUUAUUAUUAUUAUUAUAAAUUCACACACGCACACACAUACUUAUAAAUUUAUAAAUAAACUUUAUUUAACAUUUUGUUCACUUAAAUCAUUUAUAUUCUUAUAGCAGUUUAACAUUAUGAUUUACCAAACACAGAUAAUUAUUUUUAAAAUCCAUAAUAUUUUUUAAAAUAAAUUUUAAUAAAUGUUUAACUUAUUAUUCUGACAACUGAUUUUUUUUGUAAGGUAUAACCAUUAAUAAUAAAUAUUUUAAAAGUUACAGUAUCCCCAAAUUGGCCCUUACUAAUACUCUGCGUUGCCAACUAAAUACUAAUUGUAACAUUAAACAUCUGGAAUAUUUUUCUCUAACGAAACAACACAAUUAAUUUCCCUCUAAAAAAGAAAAAGAAAAAGAAAAAAUAAACUACCAACCCCACCCCUUUAGACAGCAGAGUUUUAGCUGAGGCGGCUUGCUUGCAUAAGCAUUAAGGCUGCUCUUCACCAACCAUUGAACAUUCUUUCCAUUUGAUUGUUACACUUUACUUCGCCAUCUCAUGUCCAUGUACAUUGUUUUGAAAUGAAGACUUUGCGUACAACUAAUCUUUUUCAAUUCAUAAUAAAAACUCUUUUAAUUAGUUAAUAGCUAUAGCUUCCAAUUGAGACUAUAUAUAAAAAUCCAUAUUGACUGACCAAACCAAUAAUUUUUAAUUGGCUUGAGCAUUGUCUUACUUACUUCAAAAUCGUCACUCUCUUUGAAAAGAACAUGAGAGAGUUCACCUCCAUCUCAACCCUUAACCCUAUAUCUCAGUCAAGAGAUUAUUCAUGGAAAAUUCAGAAAAAAGAAAUGUUGCAAUAUUUACGAAACUCACGUCACGUGAGGUAAGAUAAAUUAUUCCUUUCUGCUUUAAUUCAUGUACAUAAUCAUGAGAAUAACUUUAAUUAUAGUUUAUUUCUCCGUUUUAAGAUUUUUCCUUUUUUUUUUUUAAUUAAUUAAUUAUAGUUCAUUCAUUAAUCCCAUAAGAAAUUAACACCUUUGCCGGUAAAGUCACACAUACAACAAUAUUUUAGAACAAAAGGGAAGAUCAUGCACGAUCAUGAUGUUUUAUUAUAUCUCUAGCAAUAUAAUUAUCUUAUAAUUAAUUAAAAACAAAACAGGUAAUUAAGCCAAAGUGGAUGGCAUGCAUCAAUCAUCAUGCAGAACACCUCCCCUUGUUUUAAAUAUAAAUAAAAGAAAUUUGUGCCCAGAAGACUUAAUUAAUACUUCUCGUUUCUGAAGUGCUCACAUGAUAUAUAGUCGGACGCAUUAUAUUUAAUUUCAUGAAUUAAUCGUACGGUUGUAUUUUGAGAGAGAGAGAGAGAGAGAGAGUGACUGAGUAAGAUAUGGCUUAAUUUAACCAAAUCUACGUAUAAAAUUUUAAAAUGAAUUUUUGAGUUUUAACUUAGGAAUUGUCUAUGAAUAAAAGUGUUAAUCAAAUAUUUCGUGUAAAAACAGUCAGCUGUAACAUUUUCGGUUGCUUUAACAAAACUGUAUAUUUCUGUAAUUUCCUAUAUGGGCCAAAAGGAACAUUUUUCUCAGAAAUUAAAAACUUAUGGUGAAAAAGAUAAGAAAACCAACAGGUUCAAAGGUGCGAGUAAACUGGGCUCUGGUGCGCCCAACUCCCUCUUUUGAUUUUGAGACUCUAUUGACCAUUGAGUUUGAGGCCCCAACGGCCCAGUUUAAAACUGUUAUGAAAAGAAAAAAAAUAUAACUAUAAAAUUAAAAUUAAUAAUGUUUGAUAAAUAUAAUUUUUAAAUAAUAAUUUGACAAAAAUAAUAUAGGGUCUUGUGUAUAUUUUUAUUUGGCAUUUCAAUUAAUCUGCUUAUAUAUAUAUAUAUAUAAGUUAAUCUAUAUUUCUUGCAAGAAGAUAGUAUUUCUUUAAUUAAAGUCAUAACUAAUAUAUAAAUUAUCAACUAACCAUCAAACAUUUAUCUCAUUUUAUCUCCACCACGAUCAUCACCAUUCAUCCUGUCACGAUCUUUAUGUAACUACAAUUAUUUUUUCUUUAAUAAUGUCAACCCACCAACCCCAUAACAAUAUCUCCAAACAUCUCAUCUCAAAAUUCCUAAUAACAUAAGUGUUUAUGUAUGAAAGAAAAUGUGAAAUAUAUAAUCAAAAAGUAGUUUAAUAAUAUAAUGUUUAAAAAUUAUGGUAAAAAUAAGUGAGAGUUUGGCAUGGCAAGUUAAUAAAAAGAUAAAAGCUCGGACACUUGAUGCAUCAAAGUAGCAAUGUCUGUCCAUCAUUAUCAUCAUGCGGGUUUAGGUGCUUCUCAUGAUAGCAUUAGCUGGUAAGACCAUCAUGCAUCGUACUUUCAUUGUUAUACAUUUUGAAGGUAAGAAUGGUUAUGUUACGUCCCUCCGAUUAGGUGUAUUUUUCUUCUUCUUCUUCUUCUUUUUCUUCUUCUUGUACGUAAUAAUUUCUCUUUCUUCCAUGAAGAUUUCUUUCUCUCUUUCUUUUUUUUUUUUUUAUUAUAAAUAAAAUGAUAAGAACUAAUUUCCUUACUAAUUGGUAGGGUCGUUUAAUGGUUCAGAUCCAUUAGAUUUUGUCAAAUUCAAGUCCAAUCCAUCAUAUAUUCCAUUUUAUAUUCCGGAUCCGAUCACUAAUAGAAAUCCAUUAUAAUUUAAAACAAUAAAACGUCGAAUCCAAUUUAAUUCGAUAUGAUCAAUCCAAUUAAAAUAAAAAUUUACAAAUAAAAAUCAUUAGUUGCUCUCUCCAGUUAUAAUUCUUAACAAUUAAAAAAAAUACAAAAUAUCAACUCCUUUAAUAUUUCAUGAUUCAUGUACUUUAUUAUCAUAUGGUUGGAAAAAAAAGUUGAAAUUUGAAUAUUAAAAGCAAAUGUUGGUUGCGACCUGCUGUUUGUAUUCUAUAUUGUUAUAGUAUAUUUAUAGUUAUUUUUUUAGCAAGUUAAAUAUAAAAGUGACAUAUAGUUUUUUUUUAUAAAAAAAAAUAAAUAAAGAAAAUAAAAAAUUAAUUGGUUGGAUUGGUUUAUAUUGGAUUUGAACAUAUAGAUCCAUAGACCAAUCUAAUAACAUUAUAUUUUUUAUUUUGCAAUCUUAUCCAAUCCAAUCAAAAUGUCAAUAUGACAAAAGUUGGAUUGGUUUUGAUCAGAUCGAUUGGUUUGAUUGGAUUGAAUUGAAUUAGAUCUUGAACAUCCUACCAAUUAGACUUUCCGUGAUUUUUUUUUUUCCAAAUUUAAUAAAGAGACUUCCCAUGAAUGUUAAAUGCAGUUUUAUUGAUGAAUUCUGCAAUUUUAAGAAAUGUUUGAUACACGAAUAAUGCAUCUCAUCAACCAAGUAACUGCGUCCCCUGCAGCAGCCGCGGCUUCAACUGGAAUACUGCAGCCACACCGGUCUUGAGACUCAACAUUCGGCCGAAACUCAAGCAAAAGUUGAACAAUAUCAGGCCUGCUUUGAGCUAUAGCAAUAUGAAGCAAUGUUUGUCCCUGCGCACCAGCAGAAUCAGCUGGGUGGGUUCCAAGCAGGGUCACUCUGUUCAAGAACCUCUCUUAUCUCAUCCAUUUCACCAUCCUUAACUAGCUGAACCACAACAUGGGACCCAACAAACAUGAUCUUGAUUCCUAUUGAUGAACGCUGGCUUCUUCCUUCUUGUGAACCAGUCACCAGGAACCGAAUCAAGCAUCAAUGUUGCAUCUUUAAUUGCAGCUGCAGGAACGACAACGCUAUGCAAGAGGAAGGAAUCAUCACAGUGAGGGAAAGUAUGAAGGAGAACUGAUCCUGGAGGAAGAUGAUACGCAAUCUCUAUGCUUACUGUUCCGAGUGGUUGCAUUGACCUGAAUAGUUCGAUCUAUUUCUCGUGUAUCUACUUGCGCUGCACUUUCACUCGAAGAACCUACAAAAUUAUUCAUAACCCGGCAUAAAAAAGACGUAAAGUUUUCAGCGCGAGCAUGGUAACUUCAAAACCCGUUUCAUACCUAUCAUAUUUCAUUCGUCCCGCACCCUCAUUUAAAAGACUAGAGCUUAUAAAAACUAGAAGUACCUUACCCAGAACAUAAAAGCAGACAAAACCCAGUCGAGUAUAAAUAUAACGUUGAAUAACACCUACCAUUUACCAUUUCAUUCAAGAACACCACACAAUUAACGAAACCAACAUCGGUAUGUUUUCAGCCGUUGUACUUUCAACUUAAUUUUGAAAGCGCGGCAGCUAAAGCCUAAACUGUUGUUUGAUAAAAGUCCACCCACUGACUGCUACCUGGCGGCUACCGAUUCCAUUCAAUAGCAGUCAUAAAAUAAAAAGUACAAAACAAACCUAUGUACAAAAAAGGCAAUGAAGCAGCCAUGGAUUCAGUUAUUUGCAUGUUUGGGAUUGUGGUUGAUUCCAAAUUGAGAAUAUACUGCGAAAUUAUGUUUGAUAAGCAUUUAUCUGAUGAUUGCUACUUUAUUGAGUGCCUGUUUGGUAUGGCUUAUUUAAAAGCCAUAAGUGCUUAUUUAAUCGUAUAAGCACUUUUUUAAAAUUUUUAUGGUGUUUGGUUAUUUUUUUAGUAGAGUUUUUUUAGCUUAAAUAAGCUAAUUUACCUCUACUAGCAAAAGCCCAAAAUUUGAGCUUUUGGGAGUAGAGGUUAAAGAGCUUAUCUAAAAAAUAUAUAAUAAAAAAAAUAUCAUACAGUUUAAUGAUUCAAAAGUGUUUUUUUUAUUGACAACCAAACACCCAAUGACUUUUUGUCCAAAAACUCUAUUGGUAUAAGCUCUAUUGUUAUAAGCUCUAUUUAAUAAGCUGUACCAAACGGAGCCUGAGUCUUCAAAGAAAAACUCAAUCAACUAAUGCUCGAUUUUUUUUUUUAAAUGACAAAUCAAAAAGUAUUUUGGAGUAGAUUCUCAAAAGAGUGAUUAUUUGAUAAUCCACCAUAAUCCCACUUAGUUAUCAGAAAUAAAUUAAAAUCCGACGAAUGUUACUUAAGCCAAACAGCAUUAUUUUAUUUUGACCACAAGGACCACAACCCUCAAGCUGUCAAGCAACCGUUACCGUUAACGACCAAUCUUUCACCUCUCCGAAUCUUUGCAAGUCACUAUCAAGCAACCGUUACUAAUAUUUAAUCAAUUAUUAGGAUUAUUGGAUUUCUCAAAUACCUUAUGUACUUUGGUUCACUUUCUACUAAAAUAAAUAUUACAGGAGCUUUCAAAGUCUAGGCUAAGGUUGUUGUAAACAUAGAGAGAUUCAGAGAUAUAACAGCUUGUAAUUACAUACCACAAAGCAUAACUUUGUUCGAAUGAUAAUGAUCAUAAUCCAGAUUAUAGACGUAGAGAGAGGAGAAGUCGUACUUGAGGGGCAAAACGCGGCGUUUUGGCUCGUGGAUGAGGUGCUGCUCCUGAUCGUCGUAGAUUGAAGGGAGGAGAGGUCGGUCGAGGAAGUUUAGGAGACGGUGGAGGCUGAAUUGGUGAAUUUCGAUGAAGACUGACGAAUCCAAUGGGGCUUGAGGGUUUGAUUUGCAAAGAUGAAAGAUAAGAGCAUUGUUUUGGUUUCUGUGCAAAAAAAAAAAAAAAAAAACAUGACAAGCGUUGUUUUGGUUUUGGUUCUAAAAAGAUGAAAAUUUGACUGCAAUGGAUCCAUACGCAGUCGGUGUCAAAUAAGAGGAGAAACAAAUAUGUUAAUCACUCGCUCAAUCACUCAUGCGAAGUGCCUUUUUUUUCGUUGCUUUGGCUUCUGAGAAAUAUAUGCAUCAGAUAUUACAACUCUCGAGGAUAAUGCAUUUUGUUCCGGUUUUGACUGAUAUUUAGUGGCAUUUGAUAAACUGAUACCUCAGAACCUGGUAGAGAGUUUAUUAAAUACAAAGAGAACAAAAAUAUAUGACUAUAUAAGCUUUUACACGGUUGAAGAUCCGGUCAAAUUGGCUUUAGUUAGCAAGAUCAUUUAAAACUUUCAAAAAACGAAUGGUAUCAAAAAGCUCUGAGAAAAAGCGGAAAAAAGGCACCACAAAGAUCUUGCAAUUAUUAUCACAGCUUGAUAAGACAUGGAAAUGUAUCUUACAAAUUGGCCUUCCAAGCAUCAAAGAAUUGGGUGGCGACAACUCCCAUUCCUAGCUGCUACCGUGGCCAGUCCCUUCUAACUAAAAUGGGACAGGACCAAAAGCAAGGUCUCUCCCACUCUCCUUAUGUAUAUAAAAUUCCCUACAUUCGAAUAAAACUACAGAAAAAGAUUUGCACAUCAUCUUCUUUCACCUUAUUUUGCAAUCUUCAAGAGUUUGGAAGAUUUCAAAGCACUUGUUAGAAUGUAGCACUCCAUUAAGCAUUCUCACCUUCCCCACACCCCAAUGGACCUCCUUAAUCCUAUCGGCAGACCUACAAAUUCUGCUGCAACUCCAAUCAAAUAAAGCAACACAAUUGUUGCCUGCCUAAGCCUUCCACUCACAGCCUGCAAUGACAAGUUCAUGAUACAAAAUCAGAAACAUUAAUAAACAAAAAGAUAUUACCAUUACUUGCAGAGGGGGAUUUGUUGCAAUUAGUAAAUGCCAUACUUAUCACUUUCAUUGCAGAUAUCAUCAUCAUCAUAAUACUAGCAAUCCAGCACUAAUAGUCAGAAUAAUAAUAAUAGUAGCAUGAAUAAAGAAUUUCUGCAGAGUAAGCUCUAAAGAUGCCGAAAGUGUCAUCUAUUAUGUUAAUAAUAAAAAAGUCUAUCAAGAAUUCAAGGAAAGAAAACUCAUUAACAAAGAACUAAACUUUUUAAUAAUGUUUAAUAAACUACGUACCUAUGAUUUUCUAUUAUUAACAUAAAUGACACUACGUACAACUGAUUUUCGCUUUCUAAUGUUUCAAAUCAUACCGAGAAAUAUAACAAUUACCAAGUCAGUAAGUAGCACAAUUACUUAAUAAGACUUUGACUUGUCUAACCCAAAAUUGUACCCAAUUCUAUACUCUACCAUGAAAAGCUUAUGAAGCCGAACUUACUUUGACCAAACAGUACUAUUAGCUCAGUUAAAGGAAACCACAAUUGAACAAAGUUCAGCUGAAAUAACUGAACUAAAAAAACUUGAUAAAAUUAAAAGUAACUUAUAACAGUUUAGUAAAGAAGCAUACAAAACAUGAAGAUAAAUAAACAUAGGUCUAUUUUCUUGACACUACCAGGUCCUUUCCUUUUUUUUUUUUCAGAUAAGAUCUCGAUACUACCAAGUUUUGGAUUCAAAAUCACCAUAUUACAAUAAUAGUUGUGAUUCAUGGGAUACAAUAUGUAGCAGCUUAUAUGUCGGCAAUUAUAGUCAAAGAUGGUUGUCAAACAUCAUCGCAAAUCAAGAAGCUAAUAAAGACCAUGUCACACUACAUUAACAUAUAUCAGUUCUUUGAUACAAAGAUAUUGAAUGUUAUACAUUUCUAAUCCCAAGUCCUGAAAUACAAAACAAAAGUUCACUUCACACAGUCAUAAAGCUAGACUGCUAGAUAAAUGGACAAUAGGCAUUGGAUAUGGGUCAAUAAACUAUUAAGCUAAUUAAUGCACACGAAGGAAUCCGUUAGAGCUAGUAAAAUAGCCCUUACCAGAGAACUCGCAGAAGCAUUCAAUUUCCUCAAAGGAGAUAACUUACAACAUAAACAUUUUGAUAAGCAGCAACACACAUAAAAUAGCUUCACUCACUAGCAACAGAGCAACUUCUUCAACACAUUAAUAAAUCCAUUUUCAUUUUUAAACAACAAAAUAAUGCCCAGUUUCUCCAGCACAAAUAGGGUAAGCAGUAAUAGAAAAACAUGAUACAUAGGAAUUACCGGCCUCAAGAAAUCUCCAAGCUUUCUGUCCUCUGCUUCAAUUGCUCAAUCAAGAAUGCCCCAGACGUUGCGCUAGCGUGGUGGUGGAGCGUCGCGAAGCGUGUGGCGGCGGUGUCGGCGAAGGCAGGUCAUGAAGAUAGUUGGUGUCGCGCAGCGAAGGCAGUGCAGCUGGUGUCAUGCGGCGAAGGCAAAUCGCGUGGUGGUGGAGUUGGGGUCGCGCGGCAGUGGCGGUGCGGUGCUGAGGCAUAAUAGUGGCGGUGGCGUUGUGCGACAGUGGCAGUGUGGAGGCAGAUUGCGUGGAGCUGGCGGUGUUGAGGCAGAUCGCGUGGAGGCAGAUGCCGCGGUGGUGGAGUUGCUGUCGCGAUCAACGCCUGUGAAAGGGAAUGAAAGUGAAGGAGAUACCUACAAAAGAAAGAACGAGUGAAAUUUUUUUUUUUGUUCAAGGGUUUCAAACCCACAUAAACCCGACUCUCACACGGGUUCAGUAAGUUUAUGCGGGUUUGACUGCAUUACAAAUUGGUAUGACCACAACAACAGUACAAUGAUUGGUAAUUACCAAACAUGCUAUUUAUGUUGGUAUUAAAUUAAUUUAAUACAAUGAGGAGUGGUAAUAUCAUACAAUGAGGACUGUUAAAUAUGGUGUGUUUAAUAUGUUGUAUUGUAUUAUAUUAUUUUAAUACAAAUAUAUUAUAUUAUCUUGUAUUAUAAUAAUAUUAUAUAAUAUUUUGUGCUACAUUGUGUUGUAUUAAUUUAUAAUUAUAAUAUAUUUAAUGUUGCACCACGCUGUACUAAUUUUUUUAGUAAUCAAUUUAAAUUAUAUAUUUUACAAAUAAUAUUUAUUAAAAUACUUAAAAAUGCUAAAUAUGAAAAUAUUGAAUUUUAAAAAUUUAAUAUUAUUUUUUUAAUAUAAAUAUUAAAAAAUAUCAUAAUUCUUCAUAGAAAUCGAAGUUCAUGGCAUUAAAUUUUUAACGCCGCAUACAUAAUAAAAAAUUUGAUUCUCUAGUGCCAAUAUAAUAGAAUACAUAAAAACGAGACUGAGAAACUACGAAUAAAGCUCAUCAUCAAGGACUCCACAACAUUAUAAGAAGUACUAUGUAACAUUUGCCAAAUUACAACACCACAUCAAGACAUAUCACAAUGUAAAAUUUUUCCUAGAGAUUUGGUAAUUGAAAAACACAAUUCAAGUUGAAAACUGAUAGUCGACUUGAAAAGUUUUAACAUAUCCCAUAAAAGAAAUGUGCCAUGCCAAAAAUCCUAACCCUUGGCUCUUUGACGAUAAGAAAAUAUUGAAAAUUCCAAAGUACAGUGCAAUGGGAGAAAGAAUGCCUAUAAAGCUAGUAAAGAUAUUCUUAAACUACUAUUGGGAUGUUGGGCUGGUUGGUAGCAAAACCCAAACCCUGCUGCUGAUUUCCGAUACCACCAUCUUGGAUAAGCCGCUCUCCCUCCUCUUCCUAACUCCUAAGCCCAAUAUCUUUCCAAAACCUUCACAACCCACUCAUAAAUCUCAUUGUUGUCGUGGAUAUGCAAAUUCUCAAUCUUUUCUACUCCAUCACACUCAUCAAUCAUUUGGGUAUAAACAUUAACCCAAUUAUCCAUUCCUAUUUCCUUGUUAACCUCACCCACCUUGAAAAUGUUCUCAAGACCCUAUAGACAAACUGUGACGAUCCUUUGGUCCAGACAAACCAGAAGAUCACAGAGCGGUUUGAUGCAACCUUGGCUCACCAGGAAUCUGCAGGACCAUGGUACCAUAAGUGAUUCUAUCACAUGAACAUCAUUAGAUUAAAAAAAGAAAAAAAAAAGAAACAUCUAUCGUAUGAACAUUGCUGAGUGAAUAAAAGAAACAUACUGAAUAUGUUCAUGAGAUCCUCCAUAUGUGGCAUUUAAGACAGGCCAUGCAGCCUCCUUGAUUUCAAGUUCUGCAUGUUGAAGAAGAGGUGCACAAAAGGAAGGAUAAGGAAGGAUGAUAUUGGCCUCCAUAACAGCCUGUUGAACAAAAAUUCGACAAAUUAUAAUUAUGAGUAUAUUUAAGUAGCAAUUUUGUCAGAAUUAACUAGACUUGACUAUUGAGGAAGUCACAUUCAAAAAUAGAAAAGACGAGCAAGCAAUUGUAUUCAUGCUAUCGGGACCAAAAUACUAUGAUGCAAGCAAGAAAGAAAAACAUACAUACAUAUAAAACACUAUCUUUGAGUUGGGUAUUUUCUUUCAAUUUUGAUAAUGGCAACUUUGGAUUCUUCUGCUGAAUUACCACCACCACCACACCAUUGUAGUUUCACAUACUAAGAAAAGGCAGGUUCAGCUCCCGUGCAUGCCCAUAAGAAUAUGAUGUAUUAAUUAGAAGUAAAAUUAAUCUGUUCAAUUAAGUUCUCUCAUAUAUUUGUGUGCGUGUGUGUGUUAAUUAGUUUGCUUUCAAAUCUUUUCUCCCUUCUUAAUGAUAUAUAUUUUAAGCAUGAUAUCAACCACGAUGAAUUUAUUAGCCGAUUUUUAAUUAUACAUUCAGCAUGAUAUCACAAACCAAGAGCUUAAGUUAGCCUAAUUCUUCAUAAAUCUAAUAAUUGCAAUCAAUAAUAAUGCUGAAAAUACGAGUUUGAAUUAAGCUAGCAACUGGUUCUUAAAUUAUGCAAUAUGUAAUCAUAGGUUUACUUAAAGAUUAAAGCAUUUCUGCAAUCCAUUGUGCAAAAAGAUUAAAAAAAAAAAAAAUAGUUGCCAAAUUUUAUCUAAAUAAAAAUUCCUUUAGUGGUUAGUACUUGUGAAUUAUAGAAAUUAUUAUUAGUACUUGCUCAGCGCUUUUUAGAUUUGUACAGGUAGAUUACGCCAUUUCAAACCCGACCAUCCAUUUAGACAUACAAAUCCCCCCAAUUCCCUGUCCUCCGCCUUUACGCGACUCUCCACUGUAUGUGCCAACUAAUUAAUUUUUUAAUUACUUGUUUAACUAAUUAAUUCAUUUUCUCAAAAGCAAGAUUAAUCUAUUUGUUCAAAUCUGAAGGAGAUUAAGUUAAUUGAUUUUAUUGUAUGUAAAAAUAUACAAAGAACUCAUGAAGCCAACUAGAAAAAAAAAAAAAGACAAAAAAAAAAUCAAACCCAGAAAUAAAAAGACAUGCUUCGACAGAAAAUUAAUGAAAAUUAUACUGAUUGUGGUUCAAUUUGAUCAAACCCAAAUAAUAACCGGUUUGAUUGAUGACUCAGCGGCAAAGUGCAGGCGCAUCAGUGGUUGCACAGAUGAGUGUUCUCGUGCGGCACGACAAAGCAAUUGUCGGCGAUUGUGAUUGGUGAUGACAUCGAGCGAUGGGGGUAAUGGCAUCGGUCGUGACUUUGUGAUGGAGAAACGAAUGUUAGAUUCGUUCGAAGAUUCGUGUUUUGAUUGAAUAACAAAGAGAGAUUUUAUGAGUUUUAAUUAUCUAAUACGAUACCGCAUAAACCCGACUCGUACGUGGGUUUAUUUUAUGCGGGUUUCGGUGUACUAAAGCAGUAAAUUUAUGUGGUGCAAUUCAAACUGAUUUCACCGCCAAAAGAUCGUGUAAAUUUAAUAUUAUACAGGGUUUUAAUACUAUGUAAUCCAAUACACCAAACAUGCCCUUAAAAACGGAUAGCAAUCCGGGGCCUUUAAAAACGGAUAGCAAUCCGGGGCCUUUAAAAACGGAAAAUACAAGCAGAGAAAAAGAAAAGCCAAUUGUUCAAAAGUGCCUAAUAUGCCCACGGAAAAUUUUCGUCACGACCCACAGUUACUCGAAUAGGUAAUAAGACAGGAAUGCCUUUGUUUGUUCGAAUAUAGAAGCACAAUGGCUCAGAAAGGAUCCCUCCAAUCUCCUUGGCACUGUCAGCUGGGUGCGGAGUAGCUUGGUGGCAGCAACCAUGUUUGAGAGGGCUGGCUUCACCUCAGUGUACUUGCGAGUCUUGAGACCACAGUCAGGGUUAACCCACAAAAUGUUGGUUUCUAGCACAGUACGCAUCUCGUAGAUUCUGUCAACAAUUUCUUCGGUUGAUGGUAUUCUUGGAGAGUGGAUGUCAUAGACGCCAGGGCCAAUUGCAGCAUCAUACUGGACUCCCUCACGGAAGACUGACAGGAGAUUCUCAUUAGAACGAGAGUUCUCAAUGGUGAUCACAUCAGCAUCCAUGUCGAUAAUUGAGUGGAUAAUGUCGUUGAAGUUGGAGUAGCACAUGUGGGUGUGGAUCUGUCAAUCAAUAAACAAUAGAAUGAGAUACAAAAUCAACAGCUAAAUUAAAGAGAUGAGAUUGGAGAUUAAAAGGGUAACUGACCUGGGUAGUGUCCUGGAUGCCACAGUUGGUGAUUCUGAAGGAGUGGACUGCCCAGUCCAAGUAGAAAGCAUGCUCAGAUUUCCUGAGAGGCAAUCCUUCCCUCAAGGCAGCCUCAUCAAUUUGAAUAACGUUAAUGCCUGCCUUCUCAAGAUCCUCGACUUCGUCCUUGAUGGCCAAAGCAAUCUGGUAGCAGGUUUCAUGUCUGCAAAAUUGGCAGCGAUUGAUGUUAAACAAUGUUUCCAUUCCAAAAGGUUAACCAAUAGUGAACCAGUUCUCAUUUAUAUACCUGGGCUGGUCAUUUCUGACAAAGGACCAGUUGAGAAUGGUGACAGGGCCAGUAAGCAUUCCCUUCAUUGGGCGAGCAGUCAUGCUCUGAGCCCAGGAGGACCAGAAGACGGUCAUAGCCUUGGGACGGCUCACAUCACCAUAGAUGAUGGGUGGCUUCACACAGCGAGAUCCAUAGGAUUGCACCCACCCAUUGGCAGUGAAGGCGAAACCUGAUAACUGCUCUCCAAAGUACUCAACCAUGUCGUUUCUCUACAAAAACAAAUGUCCGAAUUCAAUUUGAGAUCCAGCAUACUUCGUAUGCAAUUAGAAAUGCAGAAACAAAAAUGUAUAAAAUUUUAUGUAAUUCAAAACCAGGAGACAUUGCUUUGCUUCCAUUGGGCAUUGCGAGACUCACCUCAGGCUCUCCAUGGACAAGGACAUCAAUAUCAAGCUCUUCUUGGAGUUUGACAACCUUGUUGAUUUCCUCCUUGAUGGAAGCAACAUAUUCUUCCUCAGAAAUCCUAAAAAGGACAAAUAGUCACGGCACAGUUAAUACAGUAGUUGCAGUAAUUUCACACAUGGCAUUGAAUGAAGAAACACCUCAGAUUGACUCACUUCUUAGCCUUGUAUUCACGGCGGACUCUCCUAAGUUCAAUGGUUUGUGGGAAGGAUCCAAUUGUGGUGGUUGGGAGGAUUGGAAGAUUGAGCUUCUUCUGUUGAGCAUCUAAUCUAGCACUAACGUUUGUAGCACGUCUGUGGUCUGAUCCCCUCAAAGCAGCAGCCUAAUAGACCAAGAGGAAGGAAUCACUGUUAGCAAAAAAGGAAAUUCUAAGGGACAGCCACAUCAUAAAAAUGGAAAACAAAUCAAUCAUGCCACUUACAGCCUUUUGAACUGCCUCAUUGGUCACUCUCGGGGAGGACUUUCUUGAAGCCUGAGCUGCAGCAUUGGCAGAGAAGAAUCCCUGGAAACAAAUGAUAAGGAGAACCAAAGUUAGUCUCAUUCAUAUCAUUUUAAAAAGAAGAUACAUAUGCAAUUAGUGGGCUGAUUGUGAGAGAAAAAGUCCCCAAAACUUUAAUCAAACACCAAAUGCCCAAGUUGCCAAAUGAUGUUUAAUUCGGAAAAAUAUAUUUAAAAACAUUCAAAUAUAAUUUCCCCUUCUAAAUUUUCAUUUUCAACAACAUAUUUUACAAGCCAAGCUCAACGUCAGGCCAAGAUUUUGUGCUCCUAUAAUUAUAUUUUACCAUAAAACUAGGUCCUUGAAAGGCUAAGAUUUUCUGACUCUUGUGACUAGUCAAAGCCUAAGAUUCUUUCAAUUCAUCCGUAGUAAAAGUAUACCUCAUCCUUUUGGCCAGCCAAAGCCUUGGCCAAUGCAUUGACUUCAACAACUUUCUGGGCAGCAAAUGCCAGCCAUGACUUGAUUUCGUCGUCGAGUUUGUUCUCAUUAACAAGAUCAACAGCAGUGUGAAGAAGUGAGCAGGAGGUGGAGACCACAAGCUUGUCUGCAAAGAAAAGUAAUAAAUUAUACAACAAAUCCCAUAAUAGAAUAAGAAAUAUUUAUCACAAAGAAAAAUGCAAGCAAAGGAUGUAUACCUUUGCCAACAACACCCUCAAGCCCCCGGAGAACACUAAGAGAAGCAGCAAGAUCAUUGGCCCAAAUGUUCCUUCCAUCAACCACUCCAGCAAAGAGGUACUUGCCAGCAGGGAAUCCACUCUUGAUCAAUUCAAGGGUCUUGGUUCCACGAACCAAAUCAAAUCCAUAAGCGGUGACACCCUUCAAAGAAGUGAGGGUCUGGAAUGCCUCAGCUGGAACAUCAGCAAAGUAGGUCUCAACAAGAACAUUCAAGCCAGAC